AAACCCUCAAGCUCAGCUUGGUGUUGGGGCAUGCCUACCGGCAGCCCCUAAAAUCAGUGGCGGUGCCUGCUGGCUCUAAGCGUAGUAAUACUCCUCGCUAUAGGGACCGGUGGACCACCCGCCAGAACCCCCAAUUUUCUAU
rnacentral:misc_RNA from 1 species